rnacentral:sRNA from 1 species
ACAUAAGCCCGCAGGUGUUCAUUAUAGGCGGACGAAGUUGAACUCUUAAACUCAUCUUUAUUGCAACAAUCGCCAGGUUUUUCAACAAUACCUGGUGAUGAAGGAAUUGUGCAAAAUCCUAGACGCGACAUACAACGAUUUCACGUUAGGUAUACUUGAAAGGCAAGUUUUGGGAACCGAAGCAUCAAAAACUUCUGUAACAGCGAAGAGUAGCAAAAACAAAAAUCACAAGGAAAGUUUUUCACCAAAAACCUGCAACAUUGUCUAAAAAUAUCAGAUCAAUUUUGUUCUGACCAGGUAAACACUCUCGGGUAGCAGUCAGAAAUAUAGCUGCAUUAAGGAAAUAUGGUGGUUUACGAUACAAAUGGCUUUUUUUUUUUCAAUAAAACGGAUAUUUUUAAGCCCGAUACAGAACCUGGAGGUGAGAAGACGACGGUUCCCAUGUAAUUGUAAUGCAAUUAAAAUAGCAAUGUAGAAUUUGCAUAAAAUUAAUUUGUAUUUUAUUGUGCAUAUUACUCACAUGCAUAUCGUUUUGUCAUAUGUGCCAUGUUGUUUUGUUUUGAAUUAAUUGCAACCAAAAGAGGAAAAACACAUAUUUUUAACAAUGAAAUAAUUGUAUUACAGUCGUUAGGCAAGUUCCUCAAGAUAUAAAUCGCACAAAUCUCCAUAGUGACCGCUACAUAAAUACAAACAAAACGAUGCAAACAGUCUUUAUAGUAACCGUUAUGUGUCUAAACCACAAAUUUGGUUUCUAAGUGACCGCUAUAUGUAUAUCGCACAACACGAUGCAAUGGGUCUCCAUUGUUAUCGUUAGGUGUUCACAGAAAACGAUGCAAUCGGUCUCUUGGGAGUAUUGGACACUUCGUUUUGUAAAAACUUACCUUAAAUUUUUGUACACAUUCUAGAUGGUUUGAGGUACUUUUUUAUGUUCAUAUUGAUGAAAAAUCAAAUCAUGCGUCAACAUUUUAACAAAUAUGAAAUAAUUUGAAACAGCUUUUGGUUUCUUUAUGAACCAGUUUGAAAGUGUGAAAUGAUUCAUAUUAUGUAGCUAGAAAAUAUGUUAUAAUAUUGAAUAAAACUUUUUAUUUACCCUU